rnacentral:rRNA from 1 species
ACGCUCGACACCUACGGAGGCAGCAGUGGGGAAUAUUGCACAAUGGGGGAAACCCUGAUGCAGCGACGCCGCGUGAAGGAAGAAGUAUCUCGGUAUGUAAACUUCUAUCAGCAGGGAAGAAAGUGACGGUACCUGACUAAGAAGCCCCGGCUAAUUACGUGCCUGCAGCCGCGGUAAUCUGAGCGGGCUGGCAAGGC